rnacentral:rRNA from 1 species
UACGUAGGGGGCAAGCGUUGUCCGGAUUUAUUGGGCGUAAAGGGCGCGUAGGCGGCCUGGCAAGUGGAAGGUGAAAUCCCUCGGCUUAACCGAGGAACUGCCCUCCAAACUGCUUGGCUUGAGACCGGGAGAGGUGAGUGGAAUUCCCAGUGUAGCGGUGAAAUGCGUAGAUAUUGGGAGGAACACCAGUGGCGAAGGCGGCUCACUGGACCGGUACUGACGCUGAGGCGCGAAAGCGUGGGGAGCAAACGGG